rnacentral:rRNA from 1 species
AGCGAACGCUGGCGGCAGGCCUAACACAUGCAAGUCGAACGAACCUUUCGGGGUUAGUGGCGGACGGGUGAGUAACACGUGGGAACGUGCCUUUAGGUUCGGAAUAACUCAGGGAAACUUGUGCUAAUACCGAAUGUGCCCUUCGGGGGAAAGAUUAAUCGCCUUUAGAGCGGCCCGCGUCUGAUUAGCUAGUUGGUUGAGGUAAUGGCUCACCAAGGCGUCGAUCAGUAGCUGGUCUGAGAGGAUGAUCAGCCACAUUGGGACUGAGACACGGCCCAAACUCCUACGGGAGGCAGCAGUGGGGAAUCUUGCGCAAUGGGCGAAAGCCUGACGCAGCCAUGCCGCGUGAAUGAUGAAGGUCUUAGGAUUGUAAAAUUCUUUCACCGGGGACGAUAAUGACGGUACCCGGAGAAGAAGCCCCGGCUAACUUCGUG